rnacentral:tRNA from 1 species
CCGAGAGGUGUGCGUACACAAAGAACUGCUAAUUCCUUACCCCAAGGUUGAACUCCUAGGACCCC